AUAGGACAAACCUUGUCAGGGCUUUUUAUAAGCUUACUGUAACUAGUUUGAAAUGUACUAGCAUAUAUAGGGAUGUCUGUUUUGUGUACAGUAAUCACUUGCCUGUUAUUGCUUUUGAAGCUUUUCUCUUUUUUGAAGCUUGCGUUGGCAGGUGUGAUAUCGAAGCUUGGGUCAUUUCUUAUUUUGGCUUGUUGUCUUACAAACCUUGAAAAAACACUGAAAGGGGGAAAGGCAACUUUAUGUUCCUCUUUAUAUUUUGCACCUGUGGCAAUCCAUUUUUCCUGUAGUCCAUAGGGUAACUUCUCCACAAUGAGAUUGACUCCGCGAGCCGUGUCCAAAUAUGAGAGUCCUAGCUCAUGGUUAAUGUGCUGAAUAUCUCCUCGUGGUUGUGGCCCGCUGCGCUGAUGUUCUUUACUGUGCUGUCCUCGCCCUGAGAUUUCCAGUUUUCAGCAGCUAGACAGCCAGACAACAACGCUCCAAUAACCAAACUUGUUUCUUUUCUACUUGUUUAUUGAAGAGUGGCCUCUGACCACUGCCAUCACUUUGGCCAUCGUAAAUUGAAACAUACAAAACUGAGUAUUAGCCAACGAACAUAGGAACUUAGCUAUUCUUGCUGCUAGCUAAAAA